rnacentral:rRNA from 1 species
ACGGUCCUAAGGUAGCGAAAUUCCUUGUCGGGUAAGUUCCGACCCGCACGAAAGGCGUAAUGAUUUGAGCACUGUCUCGACAAUGCAUCCGGUGAAAUUGAAGUACCAGUGAAGAUGCUGGUUACCCGCGCCAGGACGGAAAGACCCCAUGGAGCUUUACUCCAGUUUGGUACUGGGAUUCGGUACUGCAUGUACAGGAUAGGUGGGAGACUGAGAAAUUGGAACGCCAGUUUCAAUGGAGUCACUGUUGGGAUACCACCCCUGCAGUAUUGGGUUUCUAACCAGCCGCUGUGAUCCAGCGGUGGGACAAUGCCAGGCGGGGAGUUUGACUGGGGCGGUCGCCUCCGAAAGGGUAUCGGAGGCGCUCAAAGGUUCCCUCAGAAUGGUCGGAAACCAUUUUAAGAGUGCAAAGGCAGAAGGGAGCUUGACUGCGACACCGACGGGUGGAGCAGGUACGAAAGUAGGACUUAGUGAUCCGGUGGCAUAAAGUGGGAUUGCCAUCGCUCAACGGAUAAAAGCUACCCUGGGGAUAACAGGCUUAUCACUCCCAAGAGUUCACAUCGACGGAGUGGUUUGGCACCUCGAUGUCGGCUCAUCGCAUCCUGGGGCUGUAGCAGGUCCCAAGGGUUGGGCUGUUCGCCCAUUAAAGCGGUACGCGAGCUGGGUUCAGAACGUCGUGAGACAGUUCGGUCCCUAUCCGGCGCGGGCGGAGGAUAUUUGAGAGGAGCUGUCCUUAGUACGAGAGGACCGGGAUGGACGGACCACUGGUGUAUCUGCUGUCGACCAACGGCAUGGCAGAGUAGCCAAGUCCGGAAGGGAUAAACGCUGAAGGCAUCUAAGCGUGAAGCCCCCCUCAAGAUGAGAUAUCCCUCACAUAAGUGAGUAAGAUCCCUUGAAGAGUACAAGGUAGAUAGGGCAGAGGUGGAAGCAUGGUAACAUGUGGAGCUGACUGUUACUAAUCGAUCGAGGGCUUGACCAA